rnacentral:rRNA from 7 species
GGCGGCCUUAGCGCGGUGGUCCCACCUGACCCCAUGCCGAACUCAGAAGUGAAACGCCGUAGCGCCGAUGGUAGUGUGGGGUCUCCCCAUGCGAGAGUAGGGAACUGCCAG